rnacentral:lncRNA from 1 species
UAAAAUAGUUUCCUUCAAAUCCAGGGCUCUCUUCAGCUUUGUUAAAGUCCCUCAGGCCCCAUGACGGCUGCCUGUAUCAUCUGCUUCACAUCACUGUUUUGACAAAAGGAAAGCUACCAUUCAAAAUCCAAAGCCAAGGUCAUUCUCCACUGAAUUCCAGGGAGAACCCACAGAUGGCAUCUCAUACCCUGGAAAUGAGGAGGAGAAAUCAGGAAAGAGAGAGAGGGUAAGCCAAGCAUUCAGUGUAGCCCUGGGCACUGUGCUGGAGUGUUGGUGAAGGGAACAGCUCUGGACAUCCAGUUCUAACCUUGGAUGGAACAGGAUAUUGAUCAGGGGUGAGUGUGACUGGGAA